rnacentral:lncRNA from 1 species
AAAAAUUCUCCAGAGCUUGACGAACAAAUUCCGGAAUUCCUCCCAUCAGGUAAUAACUUUCUCUCCUCUUUAGAGCCUCCUUCACAAUAACAUGGGCAUAUGUAUUCUCUACUUUUAGGAUAAAAUGGAACUUUAUCUCUUCAAAUUUGUCCUUUUUACUUUAAAUGUCUCUGAUAAUUGCUCCAAUCACCGAUUUAUCGAUAUCAGUACUUUGGCAUUUCUUGAUAACAGUUCUUGAAUCUCCCACUAUUUCCAUUUUGUUAAAACCUAUAAAAAUUCCUAAUUUAACUUCUUGUAACCCUACAUGUACCUCUACUGUGAACGGAGUUGCUAUAUCGAAGUGAAUGACCAUCUUUGAUGUAACAGCCUAAUUUUCAGUGGUGUCGGAACAGUGAUUCGAGAUCACUAAAUCAGAAAAAUGAGUCGGAAAUAUUAUUAAUUUAGUGAGUAUAAGUUAAAUGUGAAGUUAGGAAAAAUUUUGAAGUAGUGAAUAGUGUACUAAAAAUAAAUAUUAAAAUAAUUAGAAUCGAAAACGAGGUACCGAGACCUCGAGAAUUUUAAAUCGAGCCAUAAAUAUUUUUAUAAAUAUAUAUGGAGUGUUAAUAAGUCAGUAUUAAAGUUUCGUCAAGAAAUUUUAAAGUUCUGAUAGUUAAUUGAACAAAAAGGACUAAAUUGUAUUAAAUGCAAAAUUAUGGGAAAUGAUUAAACAGCUUAAAUGAUAAAAGAAAGAGGGUUUAAAAGGAAAAUAGACCCAAGUUCUCUUUGGGCUGGACGGCAAUGGCAUGAAAUCAGCAAGAAAAUAAGGAGAAUUAAGGGCAAAAUUGGAAAAUUGUAAAAUUUACUUAAUAAAGCUAGGACUAAAGUGGAAUUAUCUAGAUUUCUCUUUAUUUUUCUGCAUUCUCAUCAGAAAAAACACCAUGGAAGAGCUCCCUUAAGAUUUUUUUUCAUAUUUUUACUUCAGGUAAGUUUAAUUCUUGAUUAUUCUUGAAUUUUUGUGUUUUUGUGACUUUUACAACUAGGUCCACUUGUUAAAUUCAUUAGUUUUUGAUUCUAUGAAGGAAAUUGAAAAUUUCUAUGAAUAUGUGCUAGAAUUAUAUGAUGAUUUGGCAAGGAAUUAGAGCUUUAUAUUGUUUAUAUGCUGAUUUUAUUGAAUGAAUUGAAUAGAAAGUGAAUGUUUGGGGCCUAAUUGUAAAAGAGUUUGAAGUUAGAGUUGUAUGUAGAAAUUAUGAAUUUCAAUAGUUAUGAAAUAACUUAUAAUGUCUAGGAAAAGUAUUAAUUGAUAAAAUUAUCUUAAUUGAGGGGUUAAUUGAGCAAGGACCGAAUUGUAUGAAUUGUGAACUUUGGGGCAAAAUGAAAAUCAACAUUUUGCACUAAAACUGUUUUGGACAGCAGCAGUAGUUUAACUUUGAAAAAUCACCAAAAAUUGUAGAAAUGGAAUUAGAGGAUGAAUGAAAUAUGAAAUUAAAGCUUAUUGAGUCUAGUUUCUUAUAGAAGAAAUGAUGUAAGCAAUGGAAUUGUAAAUCAAGAGAUAUGAUAAAUUUUGUGAGACAAUAUCAGAAUGAUUUCAGGUUCCCUUGUUCUGACUUUGUAAAAUCAUAAAAAAAAUUGGAUAAAAAUAAUUAGGGGCGUAAAUUUAUAUGUUUAGAAUCCUGAAUGAGUCUAUUUUCAAGAGAAACAAACGGAAACAUCAUUCGAAUCCUGUACGAGGAGAUAAUUAAAUUUUAGUGAAGAAGGGUCGGAACUGUCAGACAGCAGAACAGGGGAGACUUCAAUGAAUAAACUGUAUUAAUUGGCCCAACCAAAAAUUAUGAAAUUUUUAUGGUAAGAAGAUAUAUGAGUCUAUUUUCAUGUGAAAAUUAUAGGAUCUUAAUUUUGAGUUUUUUAGCUCCAGAUAUAAAUAAUUUAGUGACUACGACACGGGUGGAUAGUCUGAAUAUUCACAUAAGUAAUUAGUGAAAAUUAUGGAUAAGGUUACUUACAAGUGUGUUAUUUAUACCAAGGAUGUGGAUGGAGAGGAGGAGGAGGAAAAAUAUAUGAAUGACUCGUGUAUAAAUUAAACACAUGCCCGAUUAUAAUCGAUAAGUGUUGGAUUAGAAAUGAUAUAAUGUUUUAUGUGGAAUAUUUAUUAUGAAAUUAUGAUUAUCGUUAUAAUACAAAAUUUGUACUUGUGAGUUUAUAUGGCUAAAUUUUAGUGAUUAUUUGUUAAUUUUAUGAAUUUCAUGAUGUGUUAUUUCAUAUGUAUUGAUGAUAAAAUCGUGAAUAAUGUAAAAGCAUGAAAAUUGAAUAAAUGAUCAAAUUGAGCAUUUCAGUUCAGUGACAAGAUGAAUUGAAGGAAAAGACCAUAGUUGGACCAUAGCAACAAGUGAUAAGUGAUAGCUUCGGCUACACUUAUCUGAUCAAGGAUAAGUGAAAGUGAUAAGUAAUAGCUUCGGCUACACUUAUCUGAUCAAGGACAAAUGACAAGUGAAAAGUGGUAGUUUCGGCUACCUGAUCAAUGAAAAGUGGUAGCUUUUGCUACCUGAUCAGUGAAAAGUGGUAGCUUCUGCUACCUGAUCAGUGAAAAAUGGUAGCUCCGACUACCUCAUCAUUGAAAAAUGGUAGCUUCAGCUACCUGAUCAGUGAAUAGUGGUAGCUUCGGCUACAAGUGACAAGUGAUUUCCGUAUAAGACCAUAUCUGGGAUAUGACAUCGAUAUGAUAUAUGCUACUAUAUAAGACCAUAUCUGGGAUAUGACAUCAUUGAGAUAUGUGAUUCGUGUAAGACCAUAGCUGGGCUAUGACAUCGAUAAAUGAAGAUGUGUAAGACCAUAGUUGAACUAUGACAUCGAGUAAACGAAGUACUCAAUUCCGUAAGACGUUCACUAAUUUGACAAAGUUUGGUAAGUGUUACAUGGAAUUAUGUGAUAUAGGAAGUACGAGUUCAUAAGAUAUGAGUAUAGAACUUGGUUGAUAAAUGAAUUCAUUUGUGAUUAUAUAAUUGUUCAUCUUGAAUGUACUGUCCAUAUGUAUUGAUAAUUCAAACGUAUUAAUGAAUAAAGUUCCGACAUGGAAUAAAUUGAACACGAGACAAAUAAUUAUGAAAUUGAACUCGGAACUCAUGAAAAUGACAGUUAUUGAUAUAUGGAGACAUGAGACAUUGGUAUAUGAAUAUGGAAAAUGUUUGAUAAAUGUGUUUAUUCAUAAUUAUGGAAUUAUAUACCUCAUGUGUACUAUUUGCAUAAAGAUGAUAUUUCAAAUACUUUGGUUAUUUAAGCUUAAAUAUGAAACAGUAUGAAAUCAAGAUAAGUUGUUAUAAAAAUAUAUUUAGAUUACAGAGCUAUGGCUGACAUAUGUUGUAUGAUUACAUAACGUGAAAUUGUGUAUAUAUAUAUGAGAAAUUUAAUGAGAAAUGAGCCAUACACGUUUCUUGUUAUUUAUAUGAAGUGUACGACUAACAAGGGUGAUGAAGUUAUAAACAGAGAGUUACACGGGUUGAAAACACGGGCAUGUGACUCUCCAAAGUGUGAAAAUUUUCUAAGUGUUGCAAAAGUUUCAUAUGUUUACGGUUUGAUCCCGAACCACCCUGAAUGUAUGUUUUGGGUCCCAUAGGCCCAUAUAAAGGACGUUAAACAUAUGUAUGAAAGUUUUUAAUUUAGAAGAAAUUUUAUGGCUGAUUUUUACAUGAUUGAUCAUAUUAAGUUCGGUAAUGCCUCGUACCCUAUUCUAGGCUCGGAAUACUGGUAGGGGUGUUACAUUUGAUGCUAAGAUCUCCCCCUUCUCAUUUCGUACAAUCAAGCCCGAAACCGAUUUGGAAUAUUGUUGGUCAAAAGCUGCGUCAAAAUGAACUGUGACCUUUGCUCUUCGAUUAUCCUGUUAAAUGCCUGAAUCGGACUGAAGGGUGAGUUUUUCCUCUUUUAUUCCAUCCAACUUAGAGAUAUAACUUCAGAUUUGCUUCGCUAUUUCUCUUCCUAUCACAUUUCUUUUUUCAUAUAAUAAACAAUUCCUAUUAAACCAGAUUAACUAGAGUCUACAACGGAAAAACUGAAUCUAUUCAUUAGUCCCUUGACAG